CCUAAAUGGCCCUAAAAGAGUUAAUACUCAUAUAGCCUUUACUAUAUGCCAGGCACUGCUCUUAUUUAGACCCCAUAAUAAUUCUCUAAGAAGGCACUAUUAUCAUUGUCAUUUAAUAAAUGAUGUAACUAAGGCACAAAAAUUUUAGUUUCCCCAGAUCUCACAGCUCAGUGGUGGAACUAGGAAUAGAACUUUAAUAAUAUGGCUUCAGAAUCCAUGGUUUUAACUAUUGCACUAUAAUACAUUUUGGACAUUUUGCUUACAAAAUUAAAAAUAUAUAUCCAUGUAUUAUAAAUAUACUAUAUAUAUAUAUAUAGAGAGAGAGAGAGAGAAUAUAAUUUUAGUAAAAUAAAACUAUUUUGGUAUUAUGCUAGCUUGGUACAACCUACAUUCCAGCCUACCCAUACACACAUCCUCAGCUGUGUUGAGAGUGGAACCUAAUCCAAACCAAGCCAGGCAUAUUUUUUCAUCAGAAAGUAUAAAAUUGGAACAAAGAAAGAAUCUGUCAAACUUUGAACUGGAACUCUACAGGGUCACCUCUGAAGCAUAUGAAGAAGCCAAAAAUAUCAGUCUACAAAGAAAAAGAUGGUGAAGCAGAUUUUUAAAUAGAACCAGAAAUCAAAGACCAUGAUGCCUCCUAAAGAGAGGUGUUGUCUUAGUUCCUGAUAACUUUUCAGACAUGGGUUUCAGCGCCUCAUGAGAUUCAAUAACAAUCCUGGCCUUGAUUCCUAUAAGAAACCCAUAUAUUCUCUUAUUAAGUUCUUCCUUUCUUCCUAAAAUAGUUUGAGUAGUUUUCUGUGGUAGAUAGAAUAACAUUCCCCCGAAAGAUGUCCACAUACUAAUCCCAGAACCCAGCAAAAGGAACUCUACAGAUACGAUUAAGGCAGGGAUGUUGACAUGAAGAGAUUAUCCUGUAUUACUCAACUGGGGCUGAUGUAAUCACAAGGGUUUUUAUAAGUGAAAGAGGGAUGCCAAUAGUGAAAGCAACAAUAAAACAAUGGGUUGAGAACAUAAAGGGGAAAAAUAGAGGCAAGUUGUUUCUUCAUUGCAAAUUUGCCUAGGGUGUGAUUUUACAAAACAGUGUUUAGCAGUUUCUUUGACAGCAUAGUCCUGCAUACAAUCCAGGAAUUGUGCUCCUAAUUUUUGCCCAAUUGAGUUGAAAACAUACAGUCACACAAAAACCAGCACACAAAUGUUUAUAAUGGUUUUAUUCAUAAUUGCCAAAAUCUAGAAGCAAGCAAAUGUCCUUCAGUGGGUGAACAGCUAAGAAAAUAAAGAUGUAUUCAUACAAUGGAAUUUUAUUUAUCAGUAACAAAGGAAUGAUUGACCUCCAGUUUCCAGGCCAGCACAUAAGGAGCUGGAAGUCACCAUUUCAUCCUAAGAAGUAAAAAACUGAACAAACAGAAAUCAAUGACUCCUUUGAGAUAUAACAGAGAGUUGGGGUCACAGGGCAAACCACUGCACCUCAAGUUGGAGAGACCAACAGCCAUAGCUUGCUGUAGC
rnacentral:lncRNA from 10 species